GAAGAACCCACGCAGCGCCGUGCUCAAGACCUUUGUGAUGGCGUGCACUGCUCUCUGUCCAUUCAUGCUUCACAAAGGGGAGCUAGAUGUUUGAUGUAUGGCAACGGGAAUGGUGAGCUGGGACAACCAGAUCGAGUCCCUUCUCUACAUUUCGCUAUCUUAGGAGAACCUGGUGUGCUAUAUGGGAAGCAAAGCAGCAGCCCACAACUUUGACUUGCGACUCCAGAUGAAGGCACCACGAUGCACCAUGCUACUCCCUUGGAAGGCCGGCUGAGCGACGCAGCGGCGAAGGCAGUGAACGAGCUGUUGACGUCGGGCGCCGCCGGCAACCUGAACUCCUUAUGGGUUGUUUUAAACUACAAAUGAUCUACUAUAUCAAUUUUUUGCUAUUCAAAGAUUGAAAUUCUGGUUCAUUUUCAAAGAUCGAAAUGUUGUUGACCCUGUUCUUCUAUGCUUAAAUGGUAAAAAUGUCGCAUUUUGCUUGUUAUAACCAUUUUUCUUGAUAACUUGCAGAUGCUGGCCUUCAUUCAUGUUUUGUCAUGAGGUCCAGGAUGAACAAGUUGGGAGAAGCACUGGAGCUAGUUAUACUGUGAUAGUUGUGUUACCUGAUGUGAACCAUAUUUUUCUGUAAUAAUGUGUUACCAGGAUGAACCAUCCUUGCUGUGUUACCAGGAUGAACAAGUUUGAUUAUAAUA